rnacentral:rRNA from 1 species
GACGAACGCUGGCGGCGUGCUUAACACAUGCAAGUCGAACGGAAAGGCUCCUGCUUGCAGGGGUACUCGAGUGGCGAACGGGUGAGUAACACGUGGGUGAUCUGCCUUGUACUCUGGGAUAAGCUUGGGAAACUGGGUCUAAUACCGGAUAAUAACUGCCUUUAGUGUGGUGGUUGGAAAGUUUUUUCGGUGCAAGAUGAGCUCGCGGCCUAUCAGCUUGUUGGUGGGGUAAUGGCCUACCAAGGCGUCGACGGGUAGCCGGCCUGAGAGGGUGUACGGCCACAUUGGGACUGAGAUACGGCCCAGACUCCUACGGGAGGCAGCAGUGGGGAAUAUUGCACAAUGGGCGGAAGCCUGAUGCAGCGACGCCGCGUGGGGGAUGACGGCCUUCGGGUUGUAAACUCCUUUCGACAGGGACGAAGCUUUUUGUGUCGGUAC